rnacentral:rRNA from 1 species
UACGUAGGGGGCAAGCGUUGUUCGGAAUUACUGGGCGUAAAGGGCUCGUAGGCGGCCAACUAAGUCGGACGUGAAAUCCCCAGGCUCAACCUGGGAACUGCGUCCGAUACUGGAUGGCUUGAAUCCGGGAGAGGGAUGCAGAAUUCCAGGUGUAGCGGUGAAAUGCGUAGAUAUCUGGAGGAAUACCGGUGGCGAAGGCGGCAUCCUGGACCGGCAUUGACGCUGAGGAGCGAAAGCCAGGGGAGCAAAGCGGG